UCUCUGAGACUCUCUCUCUCAUCCAAAUUCUUUCUCUAUUUGAAUUUGAUUUAAAUUAAGGUUAUCCUAAUUUGAAAGGGAAUUAGGUCAUAUCAGAUUUGGGUGUGAGAAUUUUUUUUUGUGCAACAAAACAAAAGGGAAAAAGCUUGGCGUGCGGUGAUUUAGAGAUUGGAUUUCUUCCUUGCCGCAAGACCUCUAUUCCACGCUCUCUUCUCCCUCUUCUUUCCAUCUCCAUGCCCCACAACCUCC
rnacentral:lncRNA from 1 species